GCCGGCUUGACGUGAGGCCAGUACGAGAGACGUAUGGUUAGGUUAGGUUAGGUUAGGUUAGGUUAGUUUAUGUUUGCUGACGGAUGGAGUCAUUUCCUUUUCAUUUGAAACGUUGCUCUAUUUUUUGUGAAUGUUUUGGAGACAUUAAAACUUCACUUUUUCUUA